rnacentral:rRNA from 1 species
UACGGGAGGCAGCAGUGAGGAAUAUUGCACAAUGGAGGAAACUCUGAUGCAGCAACGCCGCGUGGAGGAUGACGCAUUUCGGUGUGUAAACUCCUUUUAUUAGGGAAGAUAAUGACGGUACCUAAUGAAUAAACACCGGCUAACUCCGUGCCAGCAGCCGCGGUAAU